rnacentral:rRNA from 1 species
CCUGCGGAAGGAUCAUUACCGAGUGUAGGGUUCCUAGCGAGCCCAACCUCCCACCCGUGUUUACUGUACCUUAGUUGCUUCGGCGGGCCCGCCAUUCAUGGCCGCCGGGGGCUCUCAGCCCCGGGCCCGCGCCCGCCGGAGACACCACGAACUCUGUCUGAUCUAGUGAAGUCUGAGUUGAUUGUAUCGCAAUCAGUUAAAACUUUCAACAAUGGAUCUCUUGGUUCCGGCAUCGAUGAAGAACGCAGCGAAAUGCGAUAACUAGUGUGAAUUGCAGAAUUCCGUGAAUCAUCGAGUCUUUGAACGCACAUUGCGCCCCCUGGUAUUCCGGGGGGCAUGCCUGUCCGAGCGUCAUUGCUGCCCAUCAAGCACGGCUUGUGUGUUGGGUCGUCGUCCCCUCUCCGGGGGGGACGGGCCCCAAAGGCAGCGGCGGCACCGCGUCCGAUCCUCGAGCGUAUGGGGCUUUGUCACCCGCUCUGUAGGCCCGGCCGGCGCUUGCCGAACGCAAAUCAAUCUGUCCAGGU